AUGGCGGACUUCGCGCUUGGGCUGACCAAGACGGCGGUGGAGGGGACCUUGAGCAGGGUCAAGUCGGCGAUAGAGGAGGAGGCGAGGCUCAAGGAGAAGGUGCAUCACGACCUGGUGUUCAUCACCGCCGAGUUCCAGAUGAUGCAGUCCUUCCUCAACGUCGCCAACAAGGAGCGCGCCAAGAAUGAGGUGGUGCGGACCUGGGUGAGGCAGCUCCGCGACCUGGCCUUUGACGUGGAGGACUGCGUCGAGUUUGUUGUCCAUCUGGACAACAAGUCGACGUGGUGGUGGCGCAUGGUGCCGUCCUGCGUGGUACCGCAGCGGCACCGGCACCUCGACGAGGCAGCCGCCGAGAUAAAGCUGCUCAAGGCCAGGGUGGAGGAUGUUAGCCAGAGGAACACACGCUACAACCUCAUCAGCGACUCCGGCUCCCAUGCCAAGACCAUCACGGUGCAGGUGGAGCACUCGGCCCCGGCCAACCCAUCACCAUCAACAGCAUUCCCUCUCCUAUGGGAAGUGUGGGAGGCUGCUGGAAGGACACGCAACAUCCACAACCUCCAAGAUCUCAUCACUCGUGAAAGCACAGCAGGUGAUCUUGGAGCCACCUCCAUAUUCAGAAAGGCGUAUUGUGACAGAAAAGUCAUGGAAAAAUUCAAGAUCCGGGUCUGGAUAAAGCUGAUGCAUCCUUUUAACCGGGAGGAGUUCCUCAAGAGCCUGCUGAUUCAGUUAUGCACAAGCUCUCACCAAGCAACUGUGGGAAUGGAGGACUUCCGGACAAGGAUGAAAGCAGCAGCACCAGUUACUCAAGGCGAUCUCAUCAAGGCUGAGCAAAUCAUGGAAGGGAAUAGGUAUCUCGUCUUCCUGGAAGAGGUAUCCACUCUGGUAGAGUGGGAUGCCAUCAAAAUGUACCUGCCUGACUCUAAGAAUGGCAGUCGGAUUGUCAUGUCUGCCCAUGACUUAGGGGUUGCACUUAUGUGCACUGGGGAGCCAUAUGAAGUAUCACAGCUCAGACACUUCUCUCACGGUCAAUCCAUUUGUGCAUUUUUCAAGACGGUCUCCUCAUGCCGUCGCCGUGAUAGGGAUGAACUUAAACGACUGAUAAGACAAGGCGGUGUGAUCUCCGUGCAUGGUCGCACUCAGAGAAAAUUAAAUAUUGUCAAAGAAUUGUACCGCUGCAUAAAACACAAUUAUCAGGAACAAUAUUUAGAUUUGAGCUUUGAAACGUACAGAUGGGUCAAUGUUUCCAAUCCGCUCAAUCGGAUGGACUUUCCUCGAUGCUUACCUGUGGAUUUUGAUGAUACUGAUGAUGAUGAUGAUGAUGAUUCAGAUGAUAAUGACUCAGAUGGUAUCCAAGCCAAGGAAGUCGUGUCAGCCGACCAGGAUGAUUCAGGGGGUCCUCAAGCCAACGAAGUUGCAGCUGUCGACUCGGACUUAAUUGAAGGUUGUUGUAAGACACUACAUGAAAAGGACUGCCUUGUUGUCAUCGAUGGUCUGCAGUCCACAGAAGAUUGGGACUGGAUCAAAGGUACCUUCUUAUCGCAGCCUAUUAAAGGUUGUAUUGUUGUCAUUACAAAUGAAGAACGGGUGGCCAAACAUUGUGUUGAUGAUGAAGAAGAUCGAGCCAUCAACUCUGAAUAUCUGGAGGACGAGGGCCGCAGAAAGAAAAAGGCACGUGACUGGACUAAAAAAUUUGGGGUUGAUGAGGAACUUUCACUAGAAAGAAAUGGGCAUGUGACUGCAGUGUGGGGGAUUGCUGGUAUUGGUAAAUCAGCUUUUGUCAGAAACACAUACUACAACCGCAUACUUGGUUACUUAGACUCACAAUACGUUGGAGAAAUGUUUAGCUAUUAUAGCUGGGUCGAUGUGCCCCAUCCCUUCAAUUUGAUAGAAUUUUCUUGGCGCCUACUUCUAGAUUUCUAUUCUGAUGAUCUUCAAGCCAAGGAAGCGGCAGCAAUUAGCAUCAUAGAAGGUCAGGACCCAAUUCAAAGGUGUCGUAAGAUAUUAACUGAAGAGGAGUGCCUUGUUGUCAUUGAUGGCCUGCAGUCAAAGGAUGAAUGGGACUGA
rnacentral:rRNA from 1 species